GUAAACACGUGGUUGAGUUGCAAGAAAAGAAAUGAAAAAUAUGUCUUACAAAAUAAGCAGAAAGUUUAUGGAUAUAGGCCAGAGGAGUUUUAGGAUGUGUACGACUCAAUUUCGCCAACGAAAGAUAAAGGAAAGUCAUAAUGCUUUGGAACGACAUUAGGGAUGGAGGGCUCAAGUUUGUUUCACCUUAACCCGACUCACCUGGUGAAGCGGACCUCACAGAUGGUGCACAUGUAGGGCUUCUCUCCGGUGUGUGUUCGCAUGUGCCGUGGCAGCUUUCCC